rnacentral:rRNA from 1 species
GUUUGAUCCUGGCUCAGAUUGAACGCUGGCGGCAUGCCUUACACAUGCAAGUCGAACGGUAACGCGGGGCAACCUGGCGACGAGUGGCGAACGGGUGAGUAAUGCAUCGGAACGUGCCCAGUAGUGGGGGAUAGCCCGGCGAAAGCCGGAUUAAUACCGCAUACGACCUACGGGUGAAAGCGGGGGACUCGCAAGAGCCUCGCGCUAUUGGAGCGGCCGAUGUCAGAUUAGCUAGUUGGUGGGGUAAAAGCCUACCAAGGCGACGAUCUGUAGCUGGUCUGAGAGGACGACCAGCCACACUGGGACUGAGACACGGCCCAGACUCCUACGGGAGGCAGCAGUGGGGAAUUUUGGACAAUGGGCGCAAGCCUGAUCCAGCCAUGCCGCGUGCCGGAAGAAGGCCUUCGGGUUGUAAACCGCUUUUGUCAGGGAAGAAACGCUCUGGGCUAAUACCCCAGGGUAAUGACGGUACCUGAAGAAUAAGCACCGGCUAACUACGUGCCAGCAGCCGCGGUAAUACGUAGGGUGCAAGCGUUAAUCGGAAUUACUGGGCGUAAAGCGUGCGCAGGCGGUUAUACAAGACAGAUGUGAAAUCCCCGGGCUCAACCUGGGAACUGCAUUUGUGACUGUAUAGCUAGAGUACGGUAGAGGGGGAUGGAAUUCCGCGUGUAGCAGUGAAAUGCGUAGAUAUGCGGAGGAACACCGAUGGCGAAGGCAAUCCCCUGGACCUGUACUGACGCUCAUGCACGAAAGCGUGGGGAGCAAACAGGAUUAGAUACCCUGGUAGUCCACGCCCUAAACGAUGUCAACUGGUUGUUGGACGGCUUGCUGUUCAGUAACGAAGCUAACGCGUGAAGUUGACCGCCUGGGGAGUACGGCCGCAAGGUUGAAACUCAAAGGAAUUUACGGGGACCCGCACAAGCGGUGGAUGAUGUGGUUUAAUUCGAUGCAACGCGAAAAACCUUACCUACCCUUGACAUGUCAAGAAUCUUGCAGAGAUGUGAGAGUGCUCGAAAGAGAACUUGAACACAGGUGCUGCAUGGCCGUCGUCAGCUCGUGUCGUGAGAUGUUGGGUUAAGUCCCGCAACGAGCGCAACCCUUGUCAUUAGUUGCUACGAAAGGGCACUCUAAUGAGACUGCCGGUGACAAACCGGAGGAAGGUGGGGAUGACGUCAGGUCCUCGUGGCCCUUAUGGGUAGGGCUACACACGUCAUACAAUGGCCGGUACAGAGGGCUGCCAACCCGCGAGGGGGAGCUAAUCCCAGAAAACCGGUCGUAGUCCGGAUCGCAGUCUGCAACUCGACUGCGUGAAGUCGGAAUCGCUAGUAAUCGCGGAUCAGCUUGCCGCGGUGAAUACGUUCCCGGGUCUUGUACACACCGCCCGUCACACCAUGGGAGCGGGUUCUGCCAGAAGUAGUUAGCCUAACCGCAAGGGGGGCGAUUACCACGGCAGGGUUCGUGACUGGGGUGAAGUCGUAACAAGGUA